UGGGGAAUAUUGCACAAUGGGCGCAAGCCUGAUGCAGCCAUGCCGCGUGUGUGAAGAAGGCCUUCGGGUUGUAAAGCACUUUCAGCGAGGAGGAAGGUGGUGAGCUUAAUACGCUCAUCAAUUGACGUUACUCGCAGAAGAAGCACCGGCUAACUCCGUGCCAGCAGCCGCGGUAAUACGGAGGGUGCAAGCGUUAAUCGGAAUUACUGGGCGUAAAGCGCACGCAGGCGGUUUGUUAAGUCAGAUGUGAAAUCCCCGGGCUCAACCUGGGAACUGCAUUUGAAACUGGCAAGCUAGAGUCUCGUAGAGGGGGGUAGAAUUCCAGGUGUAGCGGUGAAAUGCGUAGAGAUCUGGAGGAAUACCGGUGGCGAAGGCGGCCCCCCUGGACGAAGACUGACGCUCAGGUGCGAAAGCGUGGGGCAGCAAACAGGAUUAGAUACCCUGGUAGUCCAGCGCUGUAAACGAUGUCGAUUUGGAGGUUGUGCCCCUUGAGGCGU
rnacentral:rRNA from 1 species